rnacentral:rRNA from 1 species
CAUGCAUGUCUAAGUAUAAGCAAUUAUACUGCGAAACUGCGAAUGGCUCAUUAUAUAAGUUAUCGUUUAUUUGAUAGUGCCUUACUACUUGGAUAACCGUGGUAAUUCUAUAGCUAAUACAUGCUAAAAAUCCCGACUUCGGAAGGGAUGUAUUUAUUAGAUUAAAAACCAAUGCCCUUCGGGGCUCUCUGGUGAUUCAUGAUAACUCCUCGCAUCGCAUGGCCUUGUGCCGGCGAUGGUUCAUUCAAAUUUCUUCCCUAUCAACUUUCUAUGUUUGGGUAUUGGCCAAACAUGGUUGCAACGGGUAACGGGGAAUGGGGC